rnacentral:rRNA from 1 species
GAUGAACGCUGGCGGCGUGCCUAAUACAUGCAAGUCGAGCGAACGGACGAGAAGCUUGCUUCUCUGAUGUUAGCGGCGGACGGGUGAGUAACACGUGGAUAACCUACCUAUAAGACUGGGAUAACUUCGGGAAACCGGAGCUAAUACCGGAUAAUAUUUUGAACCGCAUGGUUCAACAGUGAAAGACGGUCUUGCUGUCACUUAUAGAUGGAUCCGCGCCGCAUUAGCUAGUUGGUAAGGUAACGGCUUACCAAGGCAACGAUGCAUAGCCGACCUGAGAGGGUGAUCGGCCACACUGGAACUGAGACACGGUCCAGACUCCGACGGGAGGCAGCAGUAGGGAAUCUUCCGCAAUGGGCGAAAGACUGACGGAGCAACGCCGCGUGAGUGAUGAAGGUCUUCGGAUCGUAAAACUCUGUUAUUAGGGAAGAACAAAUGUGUAAGUAACUGUGCACAUCUUGACGGUACCUAAUCAGAAAGCCACGGCUAACUACGUG